CUUAACUUUGCAUAAAAAUACACCAAAGAGGUUGAAAUCAACAUUUAUGCACACAGCUAUUAUGGCUUUGGUGGCCCCGCGUCUUCAAGUUUAACAUAAUUCAUUAUAUCAUCGUCGCUUUGUGUGCGUGAGUAGCCGGUGCGGUUGUCGGGGAGCACACGAGGAAGCAACAUGGAUGGCUGCCUUGUUCUGUGUCUGAUGGUGCUGGCGGGGUGUCUGGUGUUCAUUUCAUCAGGUGACGCCGCGAGGGGCAACGUUGGAGUGGCCUUGAACUCCAAGUCCAGUAACACCCGGUCCAGUAACACCCGAUCCACCACGAAGCGUAAGCAGAAGAGGGUGAAGGGGAAAGUCAAGUACCGGGAAGAGUUUCCAGAUGAACACGAACGCAAAAACACUGACAACGAACCCCGGCGCCACAAGGGCACCUACGGCUUGACCGCAGCGACUUGGGAGGCAGCCUUCAUGCGUGGCGACGUGUACAAUGGGGUGGCCUACUUCGACACCGUCCGCUACAACAACACCCCCGACACAAUGCCCACUAUCUGCCAGAACGUCGAUGUCUAUGACAACACCAACGCCAACGACAGCACGGACGUGUCUGACAACACGACGCAGCCAGUAUUGCCAGGUUUGUUCUACUGUCCAGGGGACGACGACGACGACGACAAAAACUUCUGCUGUGGCGACGAGGAAACGGAGUACUGUUGUGCCGGACCAGUGAAUAGUGAGUUCAGUCCUGUGGCGAUCGGCGCGUUGUUUGGGGGGAUCUUCCUCAUAGCGGGGAUUGCUGUAUUCUUCGUGUGGAGGAAGAAACGACAAGGUCAGCUAAAACUGGAGGAGAAAGUUCCGCCGCAGGAGAAAGCAGCAGAACCCAUGCUUGCUCCCAACACAGCAGUCCCUCAACAACUCGCAACCGGAGCUCCAGUUCAGUCUGUGGCAGCUCCGAUGCUCCCUCCCCAGGGUGCAACCGUACAACCACCAGGGUACGGACCCGCAGGUGCUUUGUACCCCCCUCCAGACCAGAAAGCACCCGCUGUUGCCUACCCCCCUCAACUACCCCCGGACCAACAAGGCUACCCCCCUCAGCCACCCCCAGGCCAACAAGUCUAUCCUCCACAACCACCCCCGGACCAGCAAGGCUACCCUCCACAACCACCCCCGGACCAGCAAGGCUACCCUCCACAGCCACCCCCGGACCAGGCAGCACCAUCAGAGCCCUACCCACCUGCAGCUGAAGGAACCCCAGCGGGAGACCCAUCCCCUCCACAGCAGCCGCCCAACGUUGCCUACCCACUAGCCCCCCAGGGAGUCCAGACAACCGCCAGUGUGCCGCCAGAGUCGUCGGACCCACCACCUCAGGCGGUAUAAAACGCCAUCAGCCUUGAGGACACCACGCCCUAGGGCAGGGCACAACACCACUACACCGGGAAUCAACCGGGGCGGUAGAUGGGACAUAACACCGAUUCUGUCUUCUCAUUAUUCAAAUGUGUUAGUGUUUCCAUUUUAAUUGUUUUAGCAGACUUCAGCCUCUUUGCUACUGAAGAAUCCUUUAUAUCUGUGAAUCCUCGUUGUUCCAGGGCGAUUUAUAUGGAGGAUCGAUGAUGAUGUUGAUGUGCUCAGGACAGGAUAUCACGCGCUUCAUUUUAUAUCUGUGAUAUUGGAUGUUUUUAUACAUACGUGGGCAUCGGUCUGUAUUAGUAGGGGCCCUGUGGUGGACACGCCUGGGCUUCAAAGGGCGUACUUGUACC
rnacentral:misc_RNA from 1 species